rnacentral:rRNA from 1 species
AAUCCUACGGGACGCAGCAGUGGGGAAUAUUGCACAAUGGGGGAAACCCUGAUGCAGCGACGCCGCGUGAGUGAAGAAGUAUUUCGGUAUGUAAAGCUCUAUCAGCAGGGAAGAAGAAAGACGGUACCUGACUAAGAAGUCCCGGCUAACUACGUGCCAGCAGCUGCGGUAAUACGUAGGGGGCAAGCGUUAUCCGGAUUUACUGGGUGUAAAGGGAGCGUAGACGGCUGUGCAAGUCUGAAGUGAAAGCACAG